rnacentral:tRNA from 1 species
GUGGGUAUAGCCCAAGCAGUAGAGCACAUGCUUAGCAUGCAUGAGGUCCUGGGUUCAAUCCCCAGUAUCGCCU